rnacentral:rRNA from 1 species
CGGAAGGUGCGAGCGUUAAUCGGAAUUACUGGGCGUAAAGCGCGCGUAGGCGGCUUGGUAAGUCGGGCGUGAAAGCCCCGGGCUCAACCUGGGAAUUGCGUUCGAUACUGCCGAGCUGGAGUACGAGAGAGGGGGGUGGAAUUCCAGGUGUAGCGGUGAAAUGCGUAGAGAUCUGGAGGAACAUCAGUGGCGAAGGCGGCCCCCUGGUUCGAUACUGACGCUGAGGUGCGAAAGCGUGGGGAGCAA